GGCUGCCCUCCGACGCCCUGCAGGCGCCCUGAGUCCUAGGCAAAGAAAACCGGCAUUUAUUUCAUCUUAUAAAUCUUAACAUCACAGUCCCUGACUGCAGACAAGGGACAGUCAAAAAGCAGGUUAAGGAGAAGGCAGAUGUCAGCCGGUGGCACACGCAGUGAGGACGGACGCACGGACGCAGGCUGGCUGAGAGAUGGCAAAGUCGCCCAGGGGCAGCGGAGCAGCCCAGGGCCCGCGAGGCGAGGGCUGGGGGCAAAGCUGACGGGAGAGGGCCCUGCAGCGGCCAUUUGCAAUACAAGCCAUCACGAACUCACGGGCCACACCAGACGGACUGCAGGCUCCAAUCGGCCCCCGAGGCAUCGUUUGCCAAGCGCUGGUCUAAGUGUCCACUGGGUAAGUGGAAGAAAAUCGGACACUGGCCCCGUGCUAGAUCACAGCUGUGCACACGCACGCACAAGUGACAGACACCCUGCUUGCUCGUGAAGAAUGCAAGAGGCAAGCAGGAGUAACCUUGGCCCCUUCCUUAUUUUCCGUCCUGAAAGCUAGAGUGAAGCCAAAAUGAGUGCUCAAGGACCUUUUGCAAAGUGUGACGCUGACCAGGGCUGAAGAGCGAGGCAGCUUCCGCCCUCGGCUUUGCUCAAACACCCGGAAGGGACUCUCGGCCAGGCGCACAGAUGGGGGCUUCUGCCAACCCCACUAACCUCUGCCUCUGGUUCCCUUAAAGCCUCAGGUUGGCUCUGAUGGGAGAACAUGAGCUUGCAGGCAGGGUAAGUAGCCAUCCUACCACGCCAGGCUAUCCGUUCUUUACCUAAGUGCCAUGAAGAACUAACCCACAAACUUGGGAGUCCUGGGGAGCUCAUCUCUAUCCCACCCCUGCUUCUGUUUCCUUAAUCCAGCUCUAGGCUGUAAGUGCUACUUUUGUAAAAGAAAAAGUUACUACCCAGAAUUCACAGGAUGGAAUAAGUAAAGGGACUUUUCGGGUGGAAGAACAUAUCCUUCCUAAUGGGAUUGUCUCAUUUAUUCAUUUGUUGAGGCAGGGCCCUGCUAUGUAGCCCCGGCUGGCCUCGAACUCACAGUGAUCUUCCUGCCUCUGCCUCCCAGGUGCCAGAUUACAGGCCUGCGCUACCAUGCCCAGCUUGAAUCGUGUGAAAUUCAUAAAGCUGUCCUUUGGGAUUCUUCA